UGGCGGCGCGCUUAACACAUGCAAGUCGCACGAGAAAGUGAGCAACCAUGAGUACAGUGGCGUACGGGUGAGUAACACGUGGAUCAUCUACCUUCUAGUGGGGAAUACCUCCGGGAAACUGGGGACAAUACCGCAUAAGCUCGGAGGAAAGCAGCAAUGCGCUGGAAGAGGAGUCCGCGGCUGAUUAGCUAGUUGGCGGGGUAACGGCCCACCAAGGCGAAGAUCGGUAGCCGGCCUGAGAGGGCACACGGCCACACUGGCACUGAAACACGGGCCAGACUCCUACGGGAGGCAGCAGUGGGGAAUCUUGCACAAUGGAGGCAACUCUGAUGCAGCGACGCCGCGUGAGCGAUGAGGCCCCUCGGGGUGUAAAGCUCUUUCGACAGGAACGAUUAUGACGGUACCUGGAGAAGAAGCUGCGGCUAACUACGUGCCAGCAGCCGCGGUAAUACGUAGGCAGCGAGCGUUGUUCGGAAUUACUGGGCGUAAAGAGUGUGUAGGCGGUGCUCUAAGUCUGUCGUGAAAUCUCCCGGCUUAACUGGGAGGGUGCGGCGGGAACUGGAGUGCUAGAGGGUGGGAGAGGUAAGCCGAAUUCCUGGUGUAGCGGUGAAAUGCGUAGAUAUCAGGAGGAACACCUGCGGUGUAGACAGCUUACUGGACCACUUCUGACGCUGAGACACGAAAGCGUGGGUAGCAAACAGGAUUAGAUACCCUGGUAGUCCACGCCCUAAACGAUGCAUACUUGGUGUGAGCGAUUCAUUUCGUUCGUGCCGGA
rnacentral:rRNA from 1 species